rnacentral:lncRNA from 1 species
AAUGGUUAAACACUGUUCAUUUGGUAUAAUUUUUGGUGUAAUGGUUGGAGAUGAAUUUUAGUUUGGUGCAAGAUUGGUGUAGGGUUGGAGAUGGCCUAAGGAACCGCUGAAAUCAGCAAGACGAUAACUUAGUGAAAAUACAUAAUCCAACAACUUAAGGGUCACCGAAAUUAUAUUUAACAAUUCUUGGAAAAUCUGCAAUCGCAUCAGCAAGAUAAGCUAUUUAAAGAAGUUUAAUUCUUAUUUUAGCAUCACCCCCUCAAAAUUCAGACACGACAUCAACCAAUUUUACAGAACAAAAUAUAUCUCAAAAAGUAAAAAAAAAAUUGUUACGCCAAGGCAACACGGACUAGCUUCAGCAUAUCCAAGCUUUGCCAAUGGCUAAUAAGGAUCUCACAAAGCCCUGAAAAUUUGGAAAUGACAAGAUCAACUCGAAAAUUGAACAGCUUUAAAGCAACAACUAGAAUAUAGGGCAAAUCAGUCGGCCAUAAUCAUGAUACUGCUUUAAAGCAACAUCAAAAACAUAAUUAGGAUACUGCCAUAUAAAUCACAAAUCAUGCCCAUCUAAUUACUAAAGCAACAACCAGAAUAUAGGGAAAAUCAAAAGAACAAAAAAUAAAUAAGGAAAAAUGAGUGUCAGGUUCGGGAAAUUGAUUCAGGGCUAAGGGCUUCACCUUCUUCCUCAGUUCUUCUAGUGCAGCUGAAGAAUCACCGACAUCAGGCGGUCAGGACCGCAUCUGCUUUUAAUGCUACCGUAACCGUUAACGCUCAAAUCAAACAAACAGGGCCAGACGAACAGCAGGUGAGGUGAGUAGCAAUGGAAAAUGAGAAGUCUGGCUCUGGAAGGAGGAGACGGAGACAACGGAGCUGAAACUGGAAGGAGUAGGCAGCGGUGGGGGCCGAGAAAGUAGUGGAUGGAAUGGGAUUGAAU